rnacentral:miRNA from 1 species
UUGCACUAACCGGUAGUGGGCUU